ACAAGCGAUACAGCGGAGAUGGGUAGAGAUGCGGCGGAUGAUUCUCGGGAUCUCUUACCGGUAGGUCUGCGAGAUGUGGAAGCCAUUUGAACAGAUUUGAAGCUUAGUGUGUGUGGGUAGAGAGUGAAGCUUGGUGAGGGUUUUUGAGAAUGAUUUUGCAAGAGAGAGGUUUUCCCUUUUUGUAGAUGAGAAGUUAGGGUUUUGGGAAGAGGAAAGAUCAAGGGACAAUAGACACUAGGUAGAUGCAACUUACAAGGUAGUGG
rnacentral:lncRNA from 1 species